rnacentral:rRNA from 1 species
CCUACGGGUGGCAGCAGUGAGGAAUAUUGGUCAAUGGGCGCGAGCCUGAACCAGCCAAGUCGCGUGAGGGAGGACGGCCCUACGGGUUGUAAACCUCUUUUGCCGGGGAGCAACGGGCGCCACGUGUGGCGUCACUGAGAGUACCCGGAGAAAAAGCAUCGGCUAACUACGUGCCAGCAGCCGCGGUCAUACGUAGGAUCCGAGCAUUAUCCGGAGUGACUGGGUGUAAAGAGUUGCGUAGGUGGCAUAAUAAGUAGCUAGUGAAAUCUGGUGGCUCAACCAUUCAGACUAUUAGCUAAACUGUUAAGCUCGAGACCGUUAGGGGUAACUGGAAUUUCUAGUGUAGGAGUGAAAUCCGUAGAUAUUAGAAGGAACACCAAUAGCGUAGGCAGGUUACUGGGACGGUUCUGACACUAAGGCACGAAAGCGUAGGGAGCAAACGGGAUUAGAUACCCCUGUAGUC